UUUAUGGUCAAGCAAGAAAGAGCGUACGGAGGAUGCCUUGGUGAAAGAUAGCGAAGAAGGACGUGGUAAGCUGCGAUAAGCUUCGGGUAGCCGCAAAUAGGCUUUGAUCCGGAGAUUUCCGAAUGGGGCAACCCAUCUGCUUUAAUCGGCAGAUAUCUAUCUCUAAAUAAAAUAGGGGCUAGAGGCAAAACCAGGAGAAUUGAACCAUCUUAGUAUCCUGAGGAAAAGAAAACGAAUGCGAUUCCCUUAGUAGCGGCGAGCGAAACGGGAACAGCCUAAACCAAAUAGGGGUAAUAGCCUGUAUGCGUUCUCUAUUUGGAGUUGUAGGACUUAAACAAAGCCAAGAUACAGAUUGGCACAAGGCCUAAAAUUUUUUCGCUUAGUCGAACAGCCUGGAAAGACUGGCUAAAAAAGGUAAUAGCCCUGUAGAUGAAAAGCGAAGAAAGCCUUGAUUAAGUUCCUGAGUACUGCGGAACUCGUGGAAUUCUGUAGGAAUCUGGCCCGACCAUGGGCUAAGGCUAAAUAAAAUCUUUCAACCGAUAGUGAACAAGUACCGUGAGGGAAAGGUGAAAAGAACCCCGAGAGGGGAGUGAAAUAGAACCUGAAACCGUAUGCUUACAAGCAGUCAGAGCCCUAUGCUCUUCCUUAUAUUCGGAAGAGAAUGGGUGAUGACGUGCCUAUUGAAGAAUGAACCGGCGAGUUAUUUAGAGUAGCAAGGUUAAGUCUAUAACAUAGACGGAGCCGUAGCGAAAGCGAGUCUGAAUAGGGCGACAAAAAGUUACUUUAAAUAGACCCGAAGCUGAGUGAUCUACCCAUGGCCAGAAUGAACUCUGCCUAAUCGCAGAGGGAGGUUCGAACCCGUGUAGGUUGAAAACUGCUGGGAUGAGCUGUGGGUCGGAGUGAAAGGCUAAUCAAACUCAGCGAUAGCUGGUUCUCCCCGAAAUAGCUUUAGGGCUAGCCUUCCAGAAAGCGUAGUGGAGGUAGAGUACUAAAUGGAUAAGGAGGCCCACCAGGUCUCCAAAUCCAAUUAAACUCCGAAUUCCAUUAUUGUUGCUGGAGGAGUCAGACUGUGGGGGAUAAGCUCCAUGGUCAAAAGGGAAACAGCCCAGACCAUUAGCUAAGGUCCCUAAUAUGGACUAAGUGGUAAAGGAAGUGGAGUCACUCAGACAAUCAGGAUGUUGGCUCAGAAGCAGCCAUCAUUUAAAGAAAGCGUAACAGCUCACUGAUCGAUUUGAAGUCUCUAAAAAUCGUAAGAUUUGCGAGACUUUUGUAACUCUGCGCCGACAAUGUAACGGGGCUCAAGUCCAUUACCGAAGCCGUGGAUUUAGUUCGUAGUCCAGAGUUCAUAGUUCGUAGAUUUCUAUGAACUAUAGGCUAGUAACUAUGAACUGAAUGGUAGGGGAGCAUUCCCUAAGCGAGUGAAGCCUGACCGCAAGGACAGGUGGACGUAUGGGAAGAGAGUAUGCCGGUAUAAGUAACGAAAAAAUCUGUGAAAAACAGAUUCGCCGAAAGUCUAAGGUUUCCUGGGGAAGGUUAAUCCGCCCAGGGUUAGUCGGUGGCUAAGUCGAGGCUGAAAAGCGUAGAUAAUGCACAAUCCGUUAAUAUUCGGAUACUACCUAAGAACCGUUUUGAGUGAUGAGGUAACGCAGAAGGACAAAUCAGCCACAUAAUGGAUAUUGUGGUUUAAGCCCGUAGGUUGGGAAGAUGAGGAAAAUCUUUAUCUUCCAUUUAAAACCAAGAGGUGAAUAGGAGUUUUCUCUUCGGAGAGAGCGAACUGAUCGAUUCCACGCUGCCAAGAAAAACCUCUAAACAAGGUUUUUGGGUAACCGUACCGCAAACCGACACAGGUAGACAAGCAGAAUAUGCUUAGGCGCUCGAGAUAACUCUCGUUAAGGAACUCGGCAAAUUAACCCCGUAACUUCGGAAUAAGGGGUGCCCUGGUAGUGUGAGGCGUUUUUACAAUUUCUCGCACGAGAGGGUUGCAAAAAAAUGGCUCCUGCGACUGUUUACUAAAAACACAGGUCUCUGCUAAGUCGUAAGACGAUGUAUAGGGACUGACACCUGCCCGGUGCCGGAAGGUUAAGAGGAGAUGUCAUCUGCCCUUUUUGGGUGGAGAAGCGUUGAAUCGAAGCCCUGGUAAACGGCGGCCCUAACUAUAAGGGUCCUAAGGUAGCGAAAUUCCUUGUCGGGUAAGUUCCGACCUGCACGAAUGUUGUAACGAUAGGAGCACUGUCUCAACGAGGGACUCGGUGAAUUUGUGAUACCCGUGAAGACGCGGGUUACCCGCAGCAAGACGAAAAGACCCCGGAACCUUUACUGUAACUUAACAUUGGAUUUUAAAAUAGUAUGUGUAGCAUAGGUGGGAGGCUAUGAAACCGGCUCGUCAGGGCUGGUGGAGCCACCAGUGAAAUACCACUCUUACUGUUUUGAGAUUCUAACCUUAUUCUGUGAAACCAGAAGAGGGACAGUGUUUGGCGGGCAGUUUGACUGGGGCGGUUGCCUCAUAAAAAGUAACUGAGGUGCCCAAAGGUUUCCUCAAGCCGUUUGGUAAUCGGUUGUAGAGCGUAAAGGUAUAAGGAAGCCUGACUGCGAGACCGACAGGUCGAGCAGAGUGGAAACACGGGCUUAAUGAUCCGGUGAUUCUGAAUGGAAGGGUCAUCGCUCAACGGAUAAAAGGUACUCCGGGGAUAACAGGCUGAUCUUGCCCAAGAGUUCAUAUCGACGGCAAGGUUUGGCACCUCGAUGUCGGCUCAUCGCAUCCUGGGGCUGAAGUAGGUCCCAAGGGUUGGUCUGUUCGCCCAUUAAAGCGGUACGUGAGCUGGGUUUAGAACGUCGUAAGACAGUAAGUGACCGUUGCUGUCUAUAAAUUUGGCUAUAUGCUGGGAAAUCCGAGAAUCACCUCCUACUUGACAAAAGAUGUUGAUAGAGAUAAAAUAUCUCUAUGGCAAGUAAAAACGGAGGGUGUGCGGAUAAUCAGCAGGCAAGCAGGAAAAAAAUAUCAGAUGAAUAUUUUACUGGCUUCGUUGAUGGAGAAGGCUGUUUCUAUGUAGGUUUCAGCCGAAGAAAAGAUUUACCUUUAGGUUGGCAGGUUAUUACAGAGUUCCAUCUCAGUCAGAACCCACAGGGAAAACUAAUUUUAGAACAAUUUCAAAGAAGAUUAGGAUGUGGUUACCUUAAACCUAAUCACCCUAAAAGCAAAAGAGAUAAAACCUGGGUUUUGAUUGUGAAAGACAGAAAAGACCUAAAGGAAAGGUUGAUACCUUUCUUUCAGAAACAUCCUCUUCAUUCAGGGAAAAGAAAAGAUUUUAUGCUCUUUGUUAAAGUACUUCAGUUGAUUGAAAAAGGAAGUCACCUUAAACCUGAAGGUUUUAGGAAGAUAGCCAAUUUGGUCUUCCAAUUACCACGAAGUCGGAAACGUUAUUUGAAAGAAGAGAUAUUUUUCUCCUGUGGCCUCAGAGACUAUACGCCAAAUACCUCGAAAAGGUAAAGAUAUAGUCCGAUCUCACGGGCGACUGUGAGAGUUUCGCAGAAAUGCGAAGUCACCUCUUCUUGAAUCUAGAAGGGGUUAUAAGUCUCUGAUAGGAGAUGAAGUAACAGAAUGUCGGUCUCUAUCUGCUGUGGGCGUUGGAUAUUUGAAGGGGAGCUAUCCCUAGUACGAGAGGAUUGGGAUGGACGAACCUCUGGUGUUCCAGCUGUUCCGCCAGGAGCAAUCGCUGGGUAGCUAUGUUCGGAAAGGAUAAGCGCUGAAAGCAUCUAAGCGCGAAGCCUCCCCCAAGAUAAGAUAUCCCUCUGCCGCAAGGUGGACUAAAGAUUCCAGGAAGACGACCUGGUUGAUAGGCCAGAUGUGUAAGUCCAGUAAUGGAUUCAGCUAACUGGUACUAAUCAAUCGUGUGGCUUGACCAUAGAU
rnacentral:rRNA from 1 species